GAGAUAUAUGAAUCCACUAGGAAUAUAGCAGAUGGAGAAUUUGGUAAGUAUCCUAAUUACUUACUUUCCAGUUAAAUCUCCAUACCUUCAAAUGCUGGUGACAAAUAGUCACACUUAGAAUGACUAAUUUGGCUUAACUACUCUAUUCUUAGACUGGACACAGUUGCAGCUCAGAAGCAAAUUACUGAGGUGGAGAAUUACAAAGCUCUUCUUAUCUCAGGAAAUACACAUUGUCUAAUUCUGAAGAGAACAUGUGAAACUCAACAACUGAAACGUUUCUCUGGGAAUUAUACAUCCACUUCAUGUGCCUGGCCUGCAAUUUCCAGUUCGCUGAAGUCAGGCUUGCCUAUGUGACCUGCUACCUCCAAACUGAAACUUGAUGCUGCAUAAUUCUGUUCUUGCUCAGUCACAAAUCAAGGUAAGGGCUGCUUCUUCAGCCAGCGUUUCAGGAUAGAGGACAUGUACCCCCGAAUGACAAGUGACCUGCUGAUGAUGUGUGAUACAAAUAAGAAGUAAACUUUGUUGUUGCAGUGACACUGAGAUUUAAGGCUGUUUGUUACCUCAGCAUAAUGUGGGGAAAAAUUAUUAACACACCCGAUCUUU
ensembl:lncRNA